CCUACGGGAGGCAGCAGUGGGGAAUAUUGCACAAUGGGGGAAACCCUGAUGCAGCGACGCCGCGUGAGUGAAGAAGUAUUUCGGUAUGUAAAGCUCUAUCAGCAGGGAAGAAGUGACGGUACCUGAAUAAGAAGCCCCGGCUAACUACGUGCCAGCAGCCGCGGUAAUACGUAGGGGGCAAGCGUUAUCCGGAUUUACUGGGUGUAAAGGGAGCGUAGACGGCAAGGCAAGUCUGAAGUGAAAGCCCGGUGCUUAACGCCGGGACUGCUUUGGAAACUGUUUAGCUGGAGUGCCGGAGAGGUAAGCGGAAUUCCUAGUGUAGCGGUGAAAUGCGUAGAUAUUAGGAAGAACACCAGUGGCGAAGGCGGCUUACUGGACGGUAACUGACGUUGAGGCUCGAAAGCGUGGGGAG
rnacentral:rRNA from 1 species